GAUAAACGCUGGCGGCGUGCUUAACACAUGCAAGUCGAACGAAGUUUUUCUUUCGGGAGGAACUUAGUGGCGGACGGGUGAGUAACGCGUGGGUAACCUGCCCUGUACAGGGGGACAACAGCCGGAAACGGCUGCUAAUACCGCAUAAGCCCUUAGCACUGCAUGGUGCAUAGGGAAAAAGAGCAAUCCGGUACAGGAUGGACCCGCGUCUGAUUAGCCAGUUGGCAGGGUAACGGCCUUCCAAAGCGACGAACAGUAGCCGAUCUGAGAGGAUGUACGGCCACAUUGGGACUGAGACACGGCCCAGACUCCUACGGGAGGCAGCAGUGGGGAAUAUUGCACAAUGGAGGAAACUCUGAUGCAGCGACGCCGCGUGAGUGAAGAAGUAUUUCGGUAUGUAAAGCUCUAUCAGCAGGAAAGAAAAUGACGGUACCUGACUAAGAAGCACCGGCUAAAUACGUG
rnacentral:rRNA from 1 species